ensembl:lincRNA 4930550C17Rik RIKEN cDNA 4930550C17 gene
AGUAAGGAUGUGGUCAGUCGGCCUCACUACUUAAGAGUGAUUUUCAAUGGCUCUGUGCCCAGAAUUCCUUUAGAUUUCAUUUUGGCUAUUUACUUAUGACAUUUUUUCUCUUUUUUUAUGGGCAUAUGACAGGACUACCUUCUCAGGAUCCUUUGCAGAUGGUCCCUCAGUGCCUGAAGGUUGGACUGCUCAGACAGAAACCUGACUGGUGAAACUUGAUGCUCCUGCAGCAAUUUGAGUGUAGAGGCCAAUGCUGCACUUUAAAGGAGUCCAUUCUCCUCACGCCUUUUCUGUGGGCUUUUUUGGGAGCCUGAGCUGAAGCUGCAGCCUCAGUUUCAGUUUGAAUCUGGCCUUUGGUUGGCAGAACCUACGCUCUUUGGCCUCGUAGCUUCAAAGCGACUUCCGGAGCUUGGGAAGACUGCAGCCAAAUUUCUGCUCCCUAUUGCACAGAAGUAUUGUCCCCAAGAGCGUCCUCCCUGGAAGAGGAGGCUGACCUACACUGGGGACUUUACUCUCAUCUUAGCUCCAGUGAACGGACUUUUUGGCUUAAGUAUGAAGAGUUGAUGCAGCUCCUGGACUGUGCCUGUGGUGUUGCCAGAUUCCUGUCCCCGAGGCCGGAAGUUUUCUUGCAUGAACCCUACUGGAAAGAAGGGCUGGGUUUAAGCUGGAAAUGAUGACCACUGGACCACACUUGGGGCACACCAGCUGAAUCUCCAUCUGUUCUGUUCUCCCUCAUCUCCCUCUCUCCUCCCCCUUUCUCUUUUUCCCUCCCUCCCUCUCUCUUUUACUGGCAGGUCUUCUCUGCUCUGAAGGCCAGAAGUUCCCGCAUCGCCUUCCAUAGGGUCAAGUUGUACGACUCCUCCUAAACCAGAAUUCUCUUCCGGUGAGGUUAGAAGAUGCCUGACCGUAAGCAGGAGCUAUCCCUGGGCUAGUCGAGUCUCCGAGCCUCCUCAAGGGGCCCAGCAAGGAGCACUCUGGCUAGCUCUCCUCGAGGAUAGGAGUGCAGUGACACCCGUUGCGCACCCCAACUGCAAGUUUACUACUCCUGGUUCUUGUGGAAGUGUGAUCCCACUUUUUUUCCGGUGUGGCGGGCACUCGCCCUUUCGUGCUAGCGUGACCAUUACGCUAGCUAGGCCUUUGUGGACCUGAAAAGAUCCGAAGUCUCUCAGAACGCCUCCCACAGCACUAGUCCCGCCGCUGUCUCCUCCAGGCCCCAGAUCUGGCGUCCCCAGAGCCAUUGCACCCUCUGGCCGGUCCUCAACGCGUAGCAGCUGGAGUAUGUAGCACAAGCGGUGGCAGGCUCUGUCUGCCCCUACCCACUUCCAGCCAAUGUGAAAAAUGCGUGCGGACCCUUUCCCUCCACUCGGAGGACGCUGGACUGGGAAUAAAGUGCUAUUGAGACCGG